AUUGAACGCUGGCGGCAGGCCUAACACAUGCAAGUCGAGCGGAUGAAGGGAGCUUGCUCCUGGAUUCAGCGGCGGACGGGUGAGUAAUGCCUAGGAAUCUGCCUGGUAGUGGGGGAUAACGUCCGGAAACGGGCGCUAAUACCGCAUACGUCCUGAGGGAGAAAGUGGGGGACCUUCGGACCUCACGCUAUCAGAUGAGCCUAGGUCGGAUUAGCUAGUUGGUGGGGUAAAGGCCUACCAAGGCGACGAUCCGUAACUGGUCUGAGAGGAUGAUCAGUCACACUGGAGCUGAGACACGCUCAAGACGCCUGCGGGAGGCAGCAGUCGGGAAUAUGAGACAGUGGGCGGAAGCCUGAUCCAGCCAUGCCGCGUGUGUGAAGAAGGUCUUCGGAUUGUAAAGCACUUUAAGUUGGGAGGAAGGGCAGUAAGUUAAGACCUUGCUGGUUUGACGUUACCAACAGAAUAAGCACCGGCUAACUUCGUG
rnacentral:rRNA from 1 species